rnacentral:sRNA from 2 species
UACUUUUAUUUCUUUUAUUUAUCUUCUUUAGUAUCUCUGUUUAUUCUCUUUUAUUUGUCUAUAUUAAUAUUUCUUUUUCUUCUCUCUAUUUAUCUGUUGUACUGAAGCUAUAUCAGAUCAUAUAAUCUCACAGUAUCACAGAUAGUAUCAUUUCUUCUCUAUAUUAUUAUAACUUUCCUUUCUUCUACACUGUUUUCAUUUUCUUAUAAAACAAUAAAGCAGACUGUUUCUUGAUAAACUGAGAAGAUAUCUUUUCUCUACUUUCUGUAAAGUCUUUCAGAUACAGUAGUGAUGAUCUUCAUCAGAGAAUCACACUAUAGUUCUAUUAUAAAUGAUUAUACAU